UGACAUAAAUACUUCUAGCUAACAACUGUUAUUGAUAUAGUCACUUUUUUCAUAAAAUAAAUAGUCAUACAAAUUUAAAUGUUUAUAGACAUCUUGAACCAAUUGACCCUUUGCAAAAAAUGGCAUAUAAUGAAAACAUCUGGAGUUCAUUAUUUCACAUUCUGAGCAAUGGCUUGUUUGUAGUUAUAAACUAGUUUACCCACAGGGUAGUGAAUGCUGCCUUGGUAUGGCAUUGUUCCCAAAUCUUUAAUAUUUUAAAGAAUAAGAGUGAGAAGUAUUUGUAAUCACCAUUCCCCAAUUAACCAAAAUUUUGAUCUCAACAAGUCUAGACAAAAUUCCAUCAUAGCAUGAAAGAGCAUCGCAAAAUUAGUAAUAUUCCAAAGUUUCGUUGCGAAAUGUUGUAAAAUGCGGAUAAUAUAGCCUUGCGAAAUUUGCAAUUUUCAGCCAUUUUAGAUUACAAACGGGAAAU